rnacentral:rRNA from 1 species
CCCUUUGUGAACAUACCUACAACUGUUGCUUCGGCGGGUAGGGUCCCCGUGACCCUCCCGGCCUCCCGCCCCCCCGGGCGGGUCGGCGCCCGCCGGAGGAUAACCAAACUCUGAUUUAACGACGUUUCUUCUGAGUGGUACAAGCAAAUAAUCAAAACUUUUAACAACGGAUCUCUUGGUUCUGGCAUCGAUGAAGAACGCAGCGAAAUGCGAUAAGUAAUGUGAAUUGCAGAAUUCAGUGAAUCAUCGAAUCUUUGAACGCACAUUGCGCCCGCCAGCAUUCUGGCGGGCAUGCCUGUUCGAGCGUCAUUUCAACCCUCAAGCCCUGCUUGGUGUUGGGGCCCUACAGCUGAUGUAGGCCCUCAAAGGUAGUGGCGGACCCUCCCGGAGCCUCCUUUGCGUAGUAACUUUACGUCUCGCACUGGGAUCCGGAGGGACUCUUGCCGUAAAACCCCCCAAUUUUCCAAAGGUUGACCUCGGAUCAGGUAGGAAUACCCGCUGAACUUAAGCAUAUCAAAARGGCGGGAGGAAA